rnacentral:rRNA from 1 species
UACGUAGGGGGCAAGCGUUGUCCGGAUUUAUUGGGCGUAAAGAGCGUGUAGGCGGCCGUACAGGUCAGCUGUGAAAACUCGAGGCUCAACCUCGAGACGUCGGUUGAAACCGUACGGCUAGAGUCCGGAAGAGGAGAGUGGAAUUCCCGGUGUAGCGGUGAAAUGCGUAGAUAUCAGGAGGAACACCGGUGGUGUAGACGGCUUUCUGGACCGUAACUGACGCUGAGACACGAAAGCGUGGGUAGCAAACAGG